GUACUUGUGGUCGAGUGGUAAGACGUCUGCUCAACAAAGCAGAAGGUUGUGGGUUCGAUUCCCACCCGAGUGCU
rnacentral:tRNA from 1 species